AGUUCGUGGAGUGAUCUGUCUGCUUAAUUGCGUUUCACUAAGGGCCUAUAAUUUAACGUGUGUUGCGGCACUUUGACCCCUCUUCGCGGAGCGUGCGUCUUAGCUUGUUUAGCUCACACAAUUAGGUCCUGAAAGCAACGAACGUGACCGCAACCUCUUGUUGCCUUUAUACCAAACACAGUCUGUUCCUUUCUCUGAAAGGGCUGCCGUGAAAAAAGGCUUUUUAAACUAGAGGGACCGCUGUUACUUUCUUAAACCAGAGGAAGGUUGCGGCAAUAACAGGUCU
rnacentral:rRNA from 1 species